CGAAGAGGCAACGAAGUUUUUUUUUUUUUUUUUUUUUUUUUACG
rnacentral:ribozyme from 1 species